AACGAACGCUGGCGGCAGGCUUAACACAUGCAAGUCGAACGCAUCCUUCGGGGUGAGUGGCAGACGGGUGAGUAACGCGUGGGAACGUGCCCUUCAGUUCGGGAUAACCCAGGGAAACUUGGGCUAAUACCGGAUACGCGCGAGUGCAGAAAGAUUUAUCGCUGAAGGAUCGGCCCGCGUCUGAUUAGCUAGUUGGUGGGGUAAUGGCCCACCAAGGCGACGAUCAGUAGCUGGUCUGAGAGGAUGAUCAGCCACAUUGGGACUGAGACACGGCCCAAACUCCUACGGGAGGCAGCAGUGGGGAAUAUUGGACAAUGGGCGCAAGCCUGAUCCAGCCAUGCCGCGUGAGUGAUGAAGGCCUUAGGGUUGUAAAGCUCUUUCGUCCGGGACGAUAAUGACGGUACCGGAAGAAGAAGCCCCGGCUAACUUCGUGCCAGCAGCCGCUGUAA
rnacentral:rRNA from 1 species